rfam:Gossypium hirsutum cultivar TM-1 chromosome 10, whole genome shotgun sequence
UUUUAAAAAUUCCAUCCCAUUGUACUAUCAAAAAUAGGCGUGGCUGACAGAAUAGUCAGACAAUAACACAUGACAUGCUGCUUGUACCUCAUUCUGAUGUACAAUGACCAAUUUUUAAUACAAAAAAAUUGAUGCUUUUUUUAAUA